AGAAGAGCUGCCCUGAUGCAAGAUGUUAUUGGAAAUAACCAGCCUGUUGAUCGACUGUGCAAUGAGAACAUAUCAGCACAAGAUCAGCAGUACAAGAAGGCGGUAGACAAGAUGCUGGCAUUUGAUUCCCUCAAUGGUGAGCUCAAAGCAUUCUUCAAAGACAUAUUUCCUUCAUAAUCCCAAUUUUCCUUUUAUCAUUAAUUAGAGUUACUUCUAGUUUGCAUGACUGGACUAGUAAAAAAUGUCUCCUUUUGAUGUGCCCUCUCGAAAGUUUAAGUAGAGAGACCAUGAAAAUUGAGGAAGCGUAAGUUGGCCUUCCAUCUACUGGUCAUUGCCCAUUCACGUUGCAAAAUUUUCGGUCCUACUAUGAACUUCCAGGGUAAAUGUAACUGGUAGUAUUUGCCCAAAUCUAGCCUUUUCGGAUCCUUCGGUUUA